rnacentral:lncRNA from 1 species
CGGUGAAGCACCCAGGCUGAGUUGCCUUGGGCCGGUAGACUGGGUCGCGUUUAUCCGGAAGGCCAGCCCCAGCGGGUUUGCUCUCGCACGGUGAAGCACCCAGGCUGAGUUGCCUUGGGCCGGUAGACUGGGGUCACGUUUAUCCGGAAGGCCAGCCCCAGCAGGUAUGCUCUCGCGCGGUGAAGCACCCAGGCUGAGUUGCCUUGGGCCGGUAGACUGGGUCGCGUUUAUCCGCAAGGCCAGCCCCAGCGGGUUUGCUCUCGCACGGUGAAGCACCCAGGCUGAGUUGCCUUGGGCCGGUAGACUGGGGUCACGUUUAUCCGGAAGGCCAGCCCCAGCGGGUUUGCUCUCGCACGGCGAAGCACCCAGGCUGAGUUGCCUUGGGCCGGUAGACUGGGUCGUGUUUAUCCGCAAGGCCAGCACCCGCAAGGUUUUGCUCUCGGACAGCGAAGCACCCAGGCUGAGUUGCUUUGGG